CCUACGGGUGGCAGCAGUGGGGAAUAUUGCACAAUGGGGGAAACCCUGAUGCAGCGACGCCGCGUGAGUGAAGAAGUAUUUCGGUAUGUAAAGCUCUGUCUGUAGGGAAGAAAAUGACGGUACCUGACCAAUAAGCCCCGGCUAACUACGUGCCAGCAGCCGCGGUAAUACGUAGGCGGCGAGCGUUAUCCGGAUUUACUGGGUGUAAAGGGAGCGUAGACGGCAGGGCAAGUCUGGAGUGAAAGGCUGGGGCUCAACCCCCGGACUGCACUGGAAACUGGCAGGCUGGAGUGCAGGAGAGGUAAGUGGAAUUCGUAGUGUAGCGGUGAAAUGCGUAGAUAUUAGGAGGAACACCAGUGGCGAAGGCAGCUUACUGAACUGUAACUGACGUUGAGGCUCGAAAGCGUGGGGAGCAAACAGGAUUAGAUACCCUUGUAGUC
rnacentral:rRNA from 1 species